AUUGAACGCUGGCGGCAUGCCUUACACAUGCAAGUCGAACGGUAACAGGUUAAGCUGACGAGUGGCGAACGGGUGAGUAAUGUAUCGGAACGUGCCCAGUCGUGGGGGAUAACUGCUCGAAGGAGCAGCUAAUACCGCAUACGACCUGAGGGUGAAAGCGGGGGAUCGCAAGACCUCGCGCGAUUGGAGCGGCCGAUAUCAGAUUAGGUAGUUGGUGAGGUAAAGGCUCACCAAGCCGACGAUCUGUAGCUGGUCUGAGAGGACGACCAGCCACACUGGGACUGAGACACGGCCCAGACUCCUACGGGAGGCAGCAGUGGGGAAUUUUGGACAAUGGGCGCAAGCCUGAUCCAGCCAUGCCGCGUGCGGGAAGAAGGCCUUCGGGUUGUAAACCGCUUUUGUCAGGGAAGAAAAGGUUCUGGCUAAUACCUGGGACUCAUGACGGUACCUGAAGAAUAAGCACCGGCUAACUACGU
rnacentral:rRNA from 1 species